GCACUACAGGUAAAAAGGUUCCAUAUCUAUUUUUAGUCUUCUCUAAUAACAAGACCUAAAAGACAACACUCUCGUCAAAUGAGUCUUGAGGAGAGAGAAUACCCAAAUUUGGAUUAUGCUUCUCCUGAUACCCAAAAUGAAUCAGUAUUCUGUUAGAGGCUAUAAAGUAUUGCGUUGAAGAUCUAUUUUAGAUUUAGGUUUCUAAAUAGUUCUCAUGUUAGAGACAACCUAAGUACAAGCCUCAUGAUAACGUAACACACCCACCCGGAAAGGAACUGUUUUUUUUCUACAAAGCUCUCUGGACAUUCCUCUGGAUUAAUGCAGUUGCUUCAAACUCCUAUCAGGCUCAUGUGUUUAGCCUAUUCGCACAUUUUUAUUUCUUGUGCUUACAAGAGUGAGGACCGUGAGUAUUUGAUCAGUGGGGAUCUAGGGUUUUAGUUCAGGGUAAUGCCGUUCAAAAAAAUAUAUAUUUAAAUUUGGUAAAAUCAUUUGGCAAAUUCAGUAACAAUUGAAUUUUUUAAUAUAAUACGGUAUAUCCGCACUAAAUAGCAAAAGUGUUAAAUUUGAUGAUUAAAUUAAAAACAUCUCCAAAUUAUAAUAUGAAUAAUUCAAACUUACAAUUAGGGGAAAGAUUUAAAGUAGCACUAGUCGACACCUUCUUUAUGCAUGCUUUUGGAAAAAGAUGCAGUGUCGUCCUCGGCUCUCUGCUCCCUUUAUUAUAGAGGGUGUUUGGCACUCCUCUGCUCCGCUCCACGUUUUUUAGCCAAACGGUUUCAGCUCCACGCACUGUUCGAAAAAAGGGUGGAGUUGUGAGAGCACCUAAAUAGGUACUCCACAAACUCCAGUUUUUUGUGGAGCUGCUCCAUGGUGGGGUUUGUGAAGUAGAGUUUGUGGAGCAGUCCAAACACCCCCAUAAUACUAAAAAUACAAUGCGUGAGAUGACGAUGAUCAAAAGUGAUUGAGGAAACAAGUUAAAUGUUAUCAAGCGAA
rnacentral:lncRNA from 1 species